UAUUUCUCUCUUUUAUUUCAUUUCACUUACAAACUCACUCACAAGAGAAAAAAAAACUCUGAACAAAGCGUCUCACUCACAAACUCACAAAACCCUAACUCGAUGAACCAACAACUCACAAAAUCCCUAAAUGUCACAUAACUCACUCACGAAUCACUCGACCUCGCCGGUAUCACUCACUAACCGACCGAAAUCCACCGAAACCCCUCACCGUUGACUGAAUCACUCACCACUCACCUUUCCCUUACCUCACCGGAGAUCUCAAACUUCACUGGUUUCUCAAUCGUAUCCUCUUUCCCUUUCUCAAACGUCACCUGUCUCUUCUUCAAGCACCCACUGUAAUUGGAGAAAAAGAAUAUUGGGUACAUCGUGGGAGAGUAGAAAAGCAAUAGGAAAAGGAAGCCAAUUUCGUUAUAGCAUUUGCAAAAAAGUGAGCAGGAGAUACCAUAGUUGAAGUUGACUAACAGUUGACCACCGGGAAAACUUAGUGAUCAGCGGAAUCGCAUUUGUCACAAGAAGUCAACCACUGAGUCAUUUGUUCAUAUUGCAGCACUGACUCAGCCUGAAGCACCAGCUAAGCUUGCAGCACCUUCUCAGAAGUCUACCACCGAGUCAUUUGUUCAUACUGAAGCAUCGGCUAAGCCUGCAUCAUUGGCUCAGCCUGCAGCAUCGGCCCAUAGUUCUACCCCUGAAGUAUUCAUGUUUAUGCCAACUCCAGGAAUGGGCGUUCGAACAAUGGUUGGCACUUCACAAUGCGCCUCACGUGAGGCUCUGAUAGAGGAGAAUAAUGUGCAAUAAAUAUCCGAUGAGGAGAUGGUGGGUCAAGGGAAUGUUCCUCCUUUUGUGCAUAUGACUGAUGAAAAUGGGAAGAUCAUUAUACGACCUUUGGGUAAAGGGCUCUGGUGAAGUGGCAAAGGCCAUAAAUUACGCAAUACGAAAGACGUUUUAUAUGCCUAUCUAUAAUUGGAGUCUAUUUGACAAAGAGGAACACAGAGACACUUUAAAAGAAUGGUUUAUUUUUUUUUGGUCCAAUAAUCUUGAAAAGGAUUUGUUCCCUGAUGAGUUGUUAUAAACACAUAAGAGGAAAUCUGACAUUUUGCUAAUACUCUUCAUUGUUCAGGUUCAGAUUCAAGCUUAUUGCAAUGAAAAAGUCAAGACUUUCAUAAUGUAUAUAUAAGAACCGGAGAAUAUAUGUUACAAGGUAUUUGUUUUUAUAGAGAGCUAGUUGGUGUACAUCAAUUACACUAAAUCUUGCUUACCAUAUAUUGUAAUUUUAUUAAGCUUUUUAUUCAUGAUGAUUAUGUGUACGUUGUAUUAAAGUAUGGCUUCAACUUACUUUUAAGAUUGAACAAGUUUGAACAUAGUCAACUGACAUCAAUUUUGCUGUGCUAGUAGUACCUUGUUAUUUUUAGUUUCUUACUAAAAAAUUUAUUACUCUAA